CUGUUUUGUUUCUAAUCAGCGCAAGUGGGUGCUUAUGAAAUUCGUCAUCAAGACGAAAUUAGUAAACUCUUAUACCAGUUCGAUGGUGCUGAAAACCUGCCCGGAAAUAAGAUCCCGAACACAAAACUACCCGGAAGCAGGCAAAAUGCCACGUACGAUUUUGGCCGGGAAGCCAGCAGAUAUUACGCAAUACGAACGUUAGGUCAAUCUCAAUCGACAGGCGUCGAAACGGUAAGAAAGUUACCGACCUGUCAUCAAAGUCACUGCAUUUUUAAUCAUUUAACCAUCUGGGAAUUUAUUUUAAAAUCCUGAACGACAAAUUUGUAGAGCAGAUAAGGAUAGUUGCCAGUUUUUUUGAAAAAAUACACUCCAGAUUUUGGCACUUUUUGGCGGAGGAGAUCUCAAGGUUAAGAAGCCUUCAGAAAAAUUGAAACUGGCUCAAAAAACUCGACUCGCGAUUCCGCGAUUCCACAAACAACUCACAAACAACUCGGGCCACCUCACCCGGUUCGACAACAAUGGAGGAGGAUAUUUCGACACUCAUUACGACGCCAAGAACGACCAAGGCGCGUGGAACGACGACGAGGGCGACAACCACCACGAUAACGACGGUAAAACCCAGCACUUUUGCCCCUCGGGGGACGGAUGCCCUGAUAAAUCACUGGUUUGAAACGACCGAGGGGAUCAUCACGAUAUCCGUCUUUGGGGGAGCAGUUCUCACCUUGUCCUUCUUGGGGGAGGGUUUUACAUGUGGCUUAUCAAAUUUAGAUACAGAUCAAUUUGAAUAAAUAAAAACUGGGAUUUUUAUAA